rnacentral:rRNA from 1 species
GGUGGUUGGGUAGAGAAUACCAAGGCGCUUGAGAGAACUCGGGUGAAGGAACUAGGCAAAAUGGCACCGUAACUUCGGGAGAAGGUGCGCCGGUGAGGGUGAAGCAUUUACUGCGUAAGCCCAUGCCGGUCGAAGAUACCAGGCCGCUGCGACUGUUUAUUAAAAACACAGCACUCUGCAAACACGAAAGUGGACGUAUAGGGUGUGACGCCUGCCCGGUGCCGGAAGGUUAAUUGAUGGGGUUAGCGCA